rnacentral:rRNA from 1 species
AGCAGCCGCGGUAAUUCCAGCUCCAAUAGCGUAUAUUAAAGUUGUUGCAGUUAAAAGCCCGUAGUUGAAUUUCGGGGUUAGUAGGUUGGUCAUGCCUCUGGUAUGUACUGGUCUCACUGAUUCCUCCUUCCUGAUGAACCGUAAUGCCAUUAAUUUGGUGUUGCGGGGAAUUUGGACUGUUACUUUGAAAAAUUAGAGUGUUUAAAGCAAGCUAACGCUUGAAUACAUUAGCAUGGAAUAAUGAAAUAGGACGUUCGAUCCUAUUUUGUUGGUUUCUAGGAUUGACGUAAUGAUUAAUAGGGAUAGUUGGGGGCAUUAGUAUUCAAUUGUCAGAGGUGAAAUUCUUGGAUUUAUUGAAGACUAACUACUGCGAAAGCAUUUGCCAAGGAUGUUUUCAUUAAUCAAGAACGAAAGUUAGGGGAUCGAAGACGAUCAGAUACCGUCGUAGUCUUAACCAUAAACUAUGCCGACUAGGGAUCGGAUGAUGUUAAUUUUUUAAUGACUCAUUCGGCGCCUUACG